rnacentral:rRNA from 1 species
CAAUAGCGUAUAUUAAAGUUGUUGCGGUAAAAAAGCUCGUAGUUGGAUUUCUACCGAAGAUAGCCGGUCGGGUCUUCGACCUUGUAUCUGGUUUUGUCUUUGGUAUCCUCAUAGGGAACGUUUCUGCGCUUUAUUGCGUGGUGCGGUAUCUAUGACUUUUACUUUGAGGAAAUUAGAGUGUUCACGGCAGGCAAACGCCUUGAAUAUAUUAGCAUGGAAUAAUAACAUAGGAUCUUCGUCCUAUUUUGUUGGUUUCUAGGGCUAAGAUAAUGAUUAAUAGGGAUAAUUGGGGGCAUCUGUAUCAACGCGUCAGAGGUGGAAUUCUUGGAUUGCGUUGCGACAAACUACUGCGAAAGCAUUUGCCAAGUAUGUUUUCAUUGA